rnacentral:rRNA from 1 species
GAUGAACGCUGGCGGCGUGCCUAAUACAUGCAAGUCGAGCGAACAGACGAGGAGCUUGCUCCUCUGACGUUAGCGGCGGACGGGUGAGUAACACGUGGAUAACCUACCUAUAAGACUGGGAUAACUUCGGGAAACCGGAGCUAAUACCGGAUAAUAUAUUGAACCGCAUGGUUCAAUAGUGAAAGACGGUUUUGCUGUAACUUAUAGAUGGAUCCGCGCCGCAUUAGCUAGCUGGUAAGGUCACGGCUUACCACGGCAACGCUGCGUAGCCGACCUGAGAGGCUGAUCGGCCACAUGGGAGCGGAGACACGGUCCAGACGCCUACGGGAGGCAGCAGUAGGGAAUCUUCCGCAAUGGGCGAAAGCCUGACGGAGCAACGCCGCGUGAGUGAUGAAGGUCUUCGGAUCGUAAAACCCUGUUAUUAGUGAAGAACAAAUGUGGAAGUAACUAUGCACGUCUUGACGGUACCUAGUCAGAAAGCCACGGCUAACUACGUG